GCUAAAUUGAUAUUGAUGCAUUUCAAUAGGUAACUACACAUGACAAAUACCAAAAGUACAAGGAGGGGAAGUUUGUUCUUGAGAGAUGGAGAAUAGUUGAGGAGAUGAUGGAAGACUUAAAUGGAGAUGCUCAUCCUGGUUCAAGCGAUAUGGAAAAUCCUUAGUGAGUUUCUGCCAAAUUCUCUCAGAAUAAGGAAACUCUAGCGUACAUGUCCAAGUGUUGUAUGUAGAAAUAAUUCUAGAGUCUGUAAACUACUAUUAAACUGCAUGACCAUAAUCUAUAAUAUCAUAAGCUUUUUAUCGAA